UUGAACGCUGGCGGCAUGCCUUACACAUGCAAGUCGAACGGCAGCACGGACUUCGGUCUGGUGGCGAGUGGCGAACGGGUGAGUAAUACAUCGGAACGUGCCUAGUAGUGGGGGAUAACUACUCGAAAGAGUGGCUAAUACCGCAUGAGAUCUACGGAUGAAAGCAGGGGAUCGCAAGACCUUGUGCUACUAGAGCGGCCGAUGGCAGAUUAGGUAGUUGGUGGGAUAAAAGCUUACCAAGCCAACGAUCUGUAGCUGGUCUGAGAGGACGAUCAGCCACACUGGGACUGAGACACGGCCCAGACUCCUACGGGAGGCAGCAGUGGGGAAUUUUGGACAAUGGGCGAAAGCCUGAUCCAGCAAUGCCGCGUGCAGGAUGAAGGCCUUCGGGUUGUAAACUGCUUUUGUACGGAACGAAAAGCUUCGGGUUAAUACCCUGGAGUCAUGACGGUACCGUAAGAAUAAGCACCGGCUAACUACGUGCCAGCAGCCGCGGUAAUACGUAGGGUGCAAGCGUUAAUCGGAAUUACUGGGCGUAAAGCGUGCGCAGGCGGUUUUGUAAGACAGAGGUGAAAUCCCCGGGCUCAACCUGGGAACUGCCUUUGUGACUGCAAGGCUAGAGUACGGCAGAGGGGGAUGGAAUUCCGCGUGUAGCAGUGAAAUGCGUAGAUAUGCGGAGGAACACCGAUGGCGAAGGCAAUCCCCUGGGCCUGUACUGACGCUCAUGCACGAAAGUGUGGGGAGCAAACAGGAUUAGAUACCCUGGUAGUCCACGCCCUAAACGAUGUCAACUGGUUGUUGGGUCUUCAUUGACUCAGUAACGAAGCUAACGCGGGAAGUCGACCGCCUGGGGAGUACGGCCGCAAGGUUAAAACUCAAAUGAAUUGACGGGGGCCCGCACAAGCGGUGGAGCAUGUGGUUUAAUUCGAUGCAACGCGAAAAACCUUACCCACCUUUGACAUGGCAGGAAUCCUUUAGAGAUAGAGGAGUGCUCGAAAGAGAACCUGCACACAGGUGCUGCAUGGCUGUCGUCAGCUCGUGUCGUGAGAUGUUGGGUUAAGUCCCGCAACGAGCGCAACCCUUAUCCUUUGUUGCCAGCGGUCCGGCCGGGAACUCAAAGGAGACUGCCAGUGAUAAACUGGAGGAAGGUGGGGAUGACGUCAAAUCAGCACGGCCCUUACGUCCGGGGCUACACACGUGUUACAAUGGCUGGUACAAAGGGUUGCCAACCCGCGAGGGGGAGCUAAUCCCAUAAAGCCAGUCGUAGUCCGGAUCGCAGUCUGCAACUCGACUGCGUGAAGUCGGAAUCGCUAGUAAUCGUGGAUCAGCAUGUCACGGUGAAUACGUUCCCGGGUCUUGUACACACCGCCCGUCACACCAUGGGAGCGGGUCUCGCCAGAAGUAGGUAGCCUAACCGCAAGGAGGGCGCUUACCACGGCGGGGUUCGUGACUGGGGUG
rnacentral:rRNA from 1 species